rnacentral:lncRNA from 1 species
UGGCUUUCCUUGGCUCAUGGUCAUCAUUGGUACCAUCAACAUCAUUUAUGCUCCUCUCUGCUGCUUCCUGCAGAACCCGCCAGCUAAGGAGGAGAAGCGUGUAAGGCACUGUCUCUUUCACCCUGUGGUUCCCCUGACUCUUCACCUUGAGCUCAUUUCCACUCUUCUGGGCAUUUCUCUGCUUUGUGGCUUUACUGUUCUUCCUAACAACUUAUCCUUUUCUUCUACCCUUCACUUUCCUUUUUUUCUCUGAACAACCAGGUCCCUUGUUAUCUGGAUCUUAAGUAAAGAAGGGAAACGAGGAGCAGGCAGGGUGACACCCUUCUCAAAUUCCAGCAUUUGAGACACUGGGGUAGUAUAGAAGUUCAAUUAGUCCUUAGCCACAUAUUGAAUUAAAGGUCAGCCUGCCCUAAAUAAAACCUACU